rnacentral:rRNA from 1 species
GAUGAACGCUGGCGGCGUGCUUAAUACAUGCAAGUCGAACGGAAAGGCGCUGCUCUUGUUGGUUGCACGUUAGGGGAAGGGGUGAGUAACACGCGUGUAAACUGCCCUUGUCAGACGGGUAACAUCACGAAACACGGGCUAAUAUCCCAUAGAAUCUCUUGAUCCGCGUUGGUCAUUGGUAAGUUUCGGCGGUUGGGGAUGGUCUCGCGGGUUACGCGCUGGUUGGGGGGGUAGUGGAUUUCCAAGCCUUUGACGGGUAGGCGGCCUGGGCGGGUUGCCAGCCUCAUUGGUCCUGAGAGACGGACCAGACUCCUACGGGACGCAGCAGUGGGGAGUAUUGCACAGUGGGCGGAAGCCUGAUGCGGCAGCGCCGCGUGCGGAAUGACGGCCUUCGGGUUAUAAACCGCUGUCGCCUGUGACGAAGCGUGAGUGACGGUAAUGGGUAAGGAAGCACCGGCUAACUACGUG